rnacentral:lncRNA from 1 species
UUUUAAUAUGGAUUUCCUCCUUUCUUAGUUAACUUAUCAAGAAUUUUUUGUGGCAUUUUAUAGCUGAAAUUGCGUAAUUAUCUAUAUUUUUAAUCACAUUGAUUAGUUAAGGGUGUGGUAGAGCAACCUUCUGGAAAUUAUCUUACCUCGUUCUUUGUCAAGUUGUGUGACAGGACUUUUUGAUAAUGAGUUGAUCUUGGAUUCUGUAUCAG